GGGCCUAUGGCGCAAUUGGUAGCGCGUAGUAAGUUCACCUGCAUCCAAUCGGAUCGCAAAAAAACAUUCUCUAACAGAUUUCCAACAGCGACUCCAGAUCGUAAGGUUGUCCGAUCGAGCCGGGCUGGGCUCA